UAGGGGAUAUUGCAAAAUGGGCGAAAGCCUGAUGCAGCAACGCCGCGUGAGUGAUGAAGGCCUUCGGGUCGUAAAACUCUUUUGGAGGGGAUGAGGAAGGACAGUACCCUCCGAAUAAGCCUCGGCUAACUACGUGCCAGCAGCCGCGGUAAAACGUAGGAGGCGAGCGUUAUCCGGAUUUACUGGGUGUAAAGCGCGUGCAGGCGGUUGUGAAAGUUGGAUGUAAAAGCUCCCGGCUCAACUGGGAGAGGUCGUUCAAAACUUCGCAACUAGAGGCAGGUAGAGGAAGGCGGAAUUCCGGGUGUAGUGGUGAAAUGCGUAGAUAUCCGGAGGAACACCAGUGGCGAAAGCGGCCUUCUGGGCCUGAACUGACGCUCAGACGCGAAAGCUAGGGUAGCAAACGGG
rnacentral:rRNA from 1 species